UACGUAGGUGGCGAGCGUUGUCCGGAAUUAUUGGGCGUAAAGGGAGCGCAGGUGGGAAAGUAAGUCUGCUUUAAAAGUGCGGGGCUCAACCCCGUGAGGGAGUGGAAACUAUUUUUCUUGAGUGCAGGAGAGGAAAGGAGAAUUCCUAGUGUAGCGGUGAAAUGCGUAGAGAUUAGGAAGAAUACCAGUGGCGAAGGCGCCUUUCUGGACUGUAACUGACGCUGAGGCUCGAAAGCGUGGGGANCAAACAGG
rnacentral:rRNA from 1 species